rnacentral:rRNA from 1 species
ACUGAGACACGGUCCAGACUCCUACGGGAGGCAGCAGUGGGGAAUAUUGCACAAUGGGCGCAAGCCUGAUGCAGCCAUGCCGCGUGUGUGAAGAAGGCCUUCGGGUUGUAAAGCACUUUCAGCGAGGAGGAAGGUGGUGAACUUAAUACGUUCACCAAUUGACGUUACUCGCAGAAGAAGCACCGGCUAACUCCGUGCCAGCAGCCGCGGUAAUACGGAGGGUGCAAGCGUUAAUCGGAAUUACUGGGCGUAAAGCGCACGCAGGCGGUUUGUUAAGUCAGAUGUGAAAUCCCCGGGCUCAACCUGGGA